rnacentral:rRNA from 1 species
UACGAAGGGGGCUAGCGUUGCUCGGAAUCACUGGGCGUAAAGGGUGCGUAGGCGGGUUUUUAAGUCAGGGGUGAAAUCCUGGAGCUCAACUCCAGAACUGCCUUUGAUACUGGGAAGCUUGAGUCCGGAAGAGGUGAGUGGAACUCCGAGUGUAGAGGUGAAAUUCGUAGAUAUUCGGAAGAACACCAGUGGCGAAGGCGGCUCACUGGUCCGGUACUGACGCUGAGGUGCGAAAGCGUGGGGAGCAAACAGG